UGGGCGCUGGCUUUAUGGCUUGUCGUUGGUUUUGGCGUUCUUGUCGAGCUCGGGAGGUGUCGCUCUUGGAGGUCGAAUCUUCCGUCAUUAAUCUCCGCUAACAUCUCUUUACUCUGCCUGCUUUGGCGUCCCCGAGUAAAGGGAAUGACUUCUCGCGUACUGCCGACGGUACCUUCCACUUUCCGCUGGCUCCCCCUGAGUGUGCGGUUUCUCAGAGUCCAUCUCGGGGGGCGGGCCUCUGAAGGGCGCCAACACCUGAGCCAGGAUCAAACUCUAUGCCUAUCCCCGGACUCCUGCUGCUCGACCUACGGCCGGCUAAACCCCGGCCAAUUGCAUGUUCCUGCCAGACUCACAUCCCUUCUGUUCAGAUGCGUGCCGGUGUAAAUCCUGAUAACACCCGCGCUGUUCCUGCGCGCAGCGCAUCUACUGAUCGCCGGAGGAUGGCAUUCGUAUCAGCUGAGGCAGCCUUUACAUAAUCUUAAGGAGGACAGGCCUACACACGGACAAAACCAAGUUCUUUCCGGGGGUAACGAGAUCGGAGCGCCGCGAUCAUGCGUGACUUGUGCUAACAGCUUACCAAGCAAUCAGGAAGCGCCAUCCGGCUGAUGACAUACAACACACUGCUCUACAGGGAUAUUCGGGUUGAUACUCAUCUGCUACCGCAUGUGGGUUGAAAAAUCAGAAAUUUGAAACUGUCACCCUGGCUUCGUGAGGAGUCCUUUUUCAACCUUGGGCCUUGUCACCUUUGUUGGGGAGGUUCAUAAUGUGUUUUCAGUCUGUCCAUCCCCUUGACCAGAAUAAAACUUAUA
rnacentral:rRNA from 1 species